rnacentral:lncRNA from 10 species
CUCGAGGUCCAGCCCGAAAGCCUGCGCCCUGGGCGUCCCUGCUUCGGCCCCCAGAGGGGGGUGCGCUGCUCGCUCCCCUCGCUCCACCUCCCGCGUAGCCUGCGGGCCCCUGGCGGCCCAGGGCAUGGGGCAGAGACGCCAUGCCGGCUGAUACACACGCCCGGAGGAGGUGAGGGAGGAAGCCACUUGAAAAUAAACAGGUGCCGUAAAGGGCAUAGGUAGCUUGCCCGGGUUUCCUGCUUCCUGGUCGCUCGCGCUCGCCUCCCCGCCGCCUCGCCUCCCCUCGAGCAGCCUCCGCACCCCGUUCUUUCACUCCUCGGCGCGUGAGCUCCUGGCAGCCUCACCCUUUUGCACAUGACGCGCCUCCCCGGGUCUCCCGCAGGCAGGCCUCGCUCCUCCCUCCGCCAGGCCUGCCCGGGAGGCCUCGACCCGGCGAGGUGACCCGCCCCAGGGUCGCCGGCGCGAGGACGAGGCUGGCGGUGCGCUGCUUCCUCAGAGCCGCUUCCUCAGAGCCGGCUGCGGCGGGCCCGGGCGGGAACCACGGAGCCCAGUGCACCAGCCUCCUCGGUGCUACCGCGGGACACAGAGGAAACAGGAACAGCUGGUUUCUGUGGGCAGGCCCCGGGCUGGAACUAGAGCCAGGGUGCGGCCGGCGGGGGACAGGGAAAGAGAUCACAGCGAAGACCCAGAAGAAACAAAAGGCAAGCGAAUGUAAGAGCUUCACCACCUUCCCACUCCAGGACGGUGGACAACAAGAGAUUUUUAUAUCCAACUGCCUACUGGACACCAACCACGUGGACAAGUCCUGGUUGCCUCAAACUCAACAUGUUCAAAGCUGAAUACAUCACCUGCUCUCCCAAAUAUGCUCCUCUCCUGCUGUUCCCAAAAUCAGAAAAUGGCUUCACGAUCAGCUCAGUCAUCUCAAGAGCAAAUGCUGAGAGUCACCCUUGAAUCCUUCUGUUGCCUCCACAUUCAAACCAUCACCAUAUCCUUGAUUUCUCUACUGUAUAUUUUUCAUAUGUGUCCACUUCUUUCCAUCUGCACUCUCAUUAGUGAAGGCCACCAACAUCUCUCAUCUGAAUGCCUGCAAUACCUCCUCACAGGUCACCAGGCAUCUAGUUUUGCCCCUGUCCUGCCCUUCCCUCAUCUAGAGUGAAGCCAGUAGGAACCUUCCAAAAUGAAAAUCUGAUUAAGUCACUUCUUUGCUUAAAACUUUUUUAUGGUUUCACAGCCCAUGAAAAUAGUAUCCAAUGUCUUUAAGUGCAUUGCAAAACUCUUCAAGGCCUCCCUCUCCAAUCCUUCUAGUCCUCCCUCCCCAGUUUCAUCACUCAUUAUAUACCCCAUAACCUUUAUGCCAGAGUUGUCAUGAACCUCCUCCCAUUCCUUCAGUAUUUUAUGUCUUUUUGCCUUCAGGUCUUUACACAUGUUGUUCCUUCAUAUUGAAAUAUUCUUUCCUCUCCCCAUUGCCUGGUAGAUUAACUCCUGUUUAUCCUUCAGAUGUCAGCCUUAAUGUCACUCUCUCAAGGUGAACAUCCCUGAAUUCUCUGAUGCAUUACAUAGGAUACCGUUUUUAUUCUGCCAUUGUAUGUGUCACCCUUUAUUGUUAAGAAACAUUUAAAUAAGAAAUAUUUAAUUGUUAAUAAACAGUUUUAAAUAAAAAAUAUUUAUUU